rnacentral:rRNA from 1 species
AGAGCGAACGCUGGCGGCAGGCCUAACACAUGCAAGUCGAGCGCCCCGCAAGGGGAGCGGCAGACGGGAGAGUAACACGUGGGAACGUACCCUUUGGUUCGGAACAACCCAGGGAAACUUGGGCUAAUACCGAAUAAGCCCUUACGGGGAAAGAUUAUCGCCAAAGGAUCGGCCCGCGUCUGAUUAGCUAGUUGGUGAGGUAACGGCUCACCAAGGCGACGAUCAGUAGCUGGUCUGAGAGGAUGAUCAGCCUCACUGGGACUGAGACACGGCCCCAGACUCCUACGGGAGGCAGCAGUGGGGGAAUAUUGGACAAUGGGCGCAAGCCUGAUCCAGCCAUGCCGCGUGGGUGAUGAAGGCCCUAGGGUUGUAAAGCCCUUUCGGCGGGGAAGAUAAUGACGGUACCCGCAGAAGAACGCCCCGGCUAACUUCGUGCCAGCAGCCGC